UGAGGUGUACAUUGCCGGUAUUGUAAACACGCUGAAGACAUCGAAGACGUUUGCAGUGACAAGAACACGAUGCAGUUGGCAGUCCACAAGAGCUUAUCAAAAGACAGGAUGCUAGGCCUGAACAUGCUGAAGAUAUUAUCAUUAGUUCUGUCCAUCAACAUGGGAACUUGGAGUAGGUUGUAACCGUUACUUUGAAUGUAACCGUUACUUUGAAUGACUGUGUACACCUGGAGGAUGAGGGAUGGAUAAAUACAAGUCAUCAUCAAUACAAUCCUAUAUUCUGCCCUAUUCCGGGUAGAAAUAAGACACACAGCCUGAUAUACAACUGCUACAACGACAUAUUCUUGAAUUGUCCGAGCAAGAAGAAGAAAGCAGCUUGCAAGUCAGGUGAAGGUCACCCCGUAGAGAUGAUAUGUGUUAACCUCACUCACAAAGAAGUUGAAAUGGACACAGAUGAGCCUAUGGGAGGUACUUCCCACUUUACCAGUGCGACAGACUUUAGCCCCCAAAAUCCAGAAUGGACACAGUGGAUUGGGUUGACUACUAUCUGUUUAUUUAUGAUCUUUCUUGCAACACUUUUGGUAUUUAGCUGCGGGAAGGACAUCUUGCGGAAAGGACAUCUUGUAACAGUGUGAUUAUUUCUCUAAGGAUUUAAAUUACCAGUACCCGGGUAAUCUUAUUUUUACUUCAAAUUCACUGUGAUAAUGUAAGAAUGUGAUCUGUGUUUUUAUGCUUGUCCAUGAUCCUUGCUUGAGAAGUCUGUUUGUAUUUUUUAUGAGCUUAUAUGUUUAUGUGAGAAAGAGUUACAUUUUAUUGUUGUGAUACGGAGCCUUGUUAGAUGUCAGAUGUUGAUAUUGUUAUGUCUUCCUUGUUUGAUCAUAUAUAUAGCAGCAGAUGUCUCUUCCAUGCUCAGCAAUCGACUUCGACUUGCUAUCAAACCUAAGGUAUCUGGUUUAUGCAAUGGGUAAAUAACGAACAAAGAUAUAUAUAUUAUGUUGAUACUUACUAAGUUGUUUUCCAUUACAGUAUUCGACGUAAUAAGCGUCCCCUCUAAUAAGCGCCCACAGCGAUAUUUGCUAAUUUAUUGGCAAGUGAACAAUCCAAUUGGCAUACCUUCCGAUAGAUCAAUGGACACAAGACUUAAAUUUAAGUGUAUUUAUCAUUUAACUAAAGCGUUUGUCCAUGACAUAAGCUUAUGACAUAAAAACAUGUAUGUCAUACCCAAAUGACAUAAGUAUGCAAAUUAGAUAUGCAAAUUAGAUUACCAGAAGUGGGACUUUUUUCGCCGGUGCACGUGAGUAGGUGUUUACAAACAACAUGGAUACCUUUGAUGUUGGGGACAAUGUUUUAAUAAAUCAAAGGGGAAGUGCUACAGAGAUAUCUGUGUUGACAAAUGGAUAUUACAGGUUACAGGUUGAUGGUACCGAAUUUGAAUUUGAUAGUGAUGAAGGCAGAAUAUCAAAACUUCCCUGUGGCCAAAGUUUCAUCAUCGAAACGCCAUCGUCUAGUAGGGCGAUGCAGACGACAUACACAAAGCCGAAAGAUGCCCAAUGAGGACGGCAUGUUCGAUGGUGUGAUCCUAGACAAUAAAAAAAACACAGCCAAGAAAACUUUGUACGAUUUGAAACUGUUCGAUAACUUUCUAAAAGUCCAAAAUGAAUUUCGCUAAAUGCACGAAAUCCCCCCAAACGAACUAGACACAUUUCUCUGCGAGUGUUUCGUUACGGCAAAUUUAUGAACCAAACAGUCUCCCGGGUUUUCAGAGCAGCAUCGAGAGAUCACUAUAACGAAGGGGGUAGGGCUAUUCACUGACGUCAUCUUUAGAAUUUUAACAAUCAAAGGCUCGGCAAAUACCGAUUAACUAAGACUCGGUUCAUAUUUCCCAUAUUAAAAAACACCCGUGAUGAAUCCUCUAUAUAACACGCACUCGUGUGUUAUAUGCACCCUUAAUUAU
rnacentral:misc_RNA from 1 species